GUCCCCAACAAGUCAUCCCCGUCCUGCUCGCCGUCUUCCGCCGAAGAACCCGGCGGCUGUGUCGAUUCUCUGCCUCCCCGACCACCUCUUCCGAUUUUGCGAAGGUAAUGCUUGUUGGAAUUGGAGUCUUUGUUAUCAUUCUUGGUCAAGAUUUUGCACAUAGUUGGAUGCUGGUCAUUUUAGGCGUGGACACACAUGGCCACCUACCGCCCAUCGCCGGGCACCGAGCUUGUUGUCCCGUCAUGCAUCUCGAUGGUGUGCCUCUCAAUUUAGCCUAGGAGAAAAUCAAAUGGUUAAAUAUGGGUUAUGUCCUCUUACACUGAAAGGUUAAUUGUUUUGCACUAUUACAUCUGACAAAGGAAGUCCUGGGUUAAAGGUAAUUCCAUGUCUACUGGUGACGCUCGCGCUGGAAACCAAAGGUGGCAUCUUGGUCUUCUCCAUGCGAACACCACAUCUCCGACGGUGCAGCCAUGGCCCGAGGGCGCCGAGCUGAUCUCCCAAGGCUCCUCGCCGACGCAUGACAAUGCCCACCUCCAUGCUGAUUGAGCUUUUCCACUUGUCAAACAUGAUCAAUUAUCUGUUAUAGAAUUUAUGUUAUCAGUUGUUUGUAGUUGUGCUCUGAAUAGAUGUCCCCUGCUUGUAAUAG